rnacentral:tmRNA from 5 species
GGGGACGUUACGGAUUCGACAGGGAUGGUUCGAGCUUAGGCUGCGAGCCGAGAGGCGAUCUCGUUAACACGCACCUAAAUGUAACUGGCAAAACUAAAAGUUUUAACCAAAACUUAGCACUAGCUGCCUAAUAAGCGCAGCGAGCUCUUCCUGACAUCGCCUAUGUGUCUGUGAGGAGCCCAAUGAAGUAGGCUACGCUUACGUUUUCGUCUGAGGACGUAAGAAGAGAUCCAUCAGACUAGCUCUCCAAGCGCCCGUCAGCAGGCAUGAGGAUGAGUGAACACGUAAAUAUGUUGACUACGCUCGUAGACGCUUAAGUAAUCGAUGUCUCUGGACGUGGGUUCGACUCCCACCGUCUCCAUAU